GCUCCGUUGGUCAAGCGGUAAAGACGGUUGACUUUCUAUCAGCAAUCAGGGGUUCGACUCCCCUACGGAGUA
rnacentral:tRNA from 1 species